rnacentral:rRNA from 1 species
GAUGAACGCUGGCGGCGUGCCUAAUACAUGCAAGUCGAGCGAACAGACGAGGAGCUUGCUCCUCUGACGUUAGCGGCGGACGGGUGAGUAACACGUGGAUAACCUACCUAUAAGACUGGGAUAACUUCGGGAAACCGGAGCUAAUACCGGAUAAUAUAUUGAACCGCAUGGUUCAAUAGUGAAAGACGGUUUUGCUGUCACUUAUAGAUGGAUCCGCGCCGCAUUAGCUAGUUGGUAAGGUAACGGCUUACCAAGGCAACGAUGCGUAGCCGACCUGAGAGGGUGAUCGGCCACACUGGAACUGAGACACGGUCCAGACUCCUACGGGAGGCAGCAGUAGGGAAUCUUCCGCAAUGGGCGAAAGCUUGACGGAGCAACGCCGCGUGAGUGAUGAAGGUCUUCGGAUCGUAAAACUCUGUUAUUAGGGAAGAACAAAUGUGUAAGUAACUAUGCACGUCUGGACGGUACCUAAUCAGAAAGCCACGGCUAACUACGU